GAAUUAGCUUGCUAAUUUGCUGACGAGCGGCGGACGGGUGAGUAACGCGUAGGAAUCUGCCUAGUAGUGGGGGACAACAUGUGGAAACGCAUGCUAAUACCGCAUACGCCCUACGGGGGAAAGGAGGGGAUCUUCGGACCUUCCGCUAUUAGAUGAGCCUGCGUGAGAUUAGCUAGUUGGUGGGGUAAAGGCUCACCAAGGCGACGAUCUCUAGCUGGUCUGAGAGGAUGAUCAGCCACACUGGGACUGAGACACGGCCCAGACUCCUACGGGAGGCAGCAGUGGGGAAUAUUGGACAAUGGGGGCAACCCUGAUCCAGCCAUGCCGCGUGUGUGAAGAAGGCCUUAGGGUUGUAAAGCACUUUCAGAGGUGAGGAAGGUUAUGCGGUUAAUACCCGUAUAAUUUGACGUUAGCCUCAGAAGAAGCACCGGCUAACUCUGUGCCAGCAGCCGCGGUAAUACAGAGGGUGCGAGCGUUAAUCGGAAUUACUGGGCGUAAAGCGCGCGUAGGCGGUUUGUUAAGUCGGAUGUGAAAUCCCAGGGCUCAACCUUGGAAUUGCACCCGAUACUGGCAGGCUAGAGUACGGUAGAGGGGGUGUGGAAAUUUCCUGUGUAGCCGGUGAAAUGCGUAGAUAUAGGGAGGGAACAUCAGUGGGCGAAAGGCGACACCCCUGGGACCGAAUACUGGACGGCUAAAGUUGCGAAAAGCGUUGGUGGAGCCAAACGGGGAUUUAGCAUACCCCUGGGUA
rnacentral:rRNA from 1 species